GUAUAUCUCUCUGCCAGCCUGCAUGAUGACCUGCUCAAAUAUCACAGCAGCUGCGGAUCCUGGCAGUCUCCUCUCCCUCAACUUAAGACAUGUACUGGGCACAAAAUUCGAACUUGCCUCCAGGCGACAGGGAUGAACUUACUCCACUGCACAGAGGACAUGCUGCUCCAGAUCCUGCCAGCCAGACUGAUAACGUAGUGCAGAUUGCAGCCUGAAAGGACUCACAUCCCACAUACAGUCCCUCCAGACCUCCAGCCCUGGACCUAUCUGCUAACUCCGUCCAGUUCUU